rnacentral:rRNA from 1 species
UACGGAGGGUGCAAGCGUUAAUCGGAAUUACUGGGCGUAAAGCGCACGCAGGUGGCUGAGUCAGUCGAUUGUGAAAGCCCUGGGCUUAACCUGGGAAUUGCAGUCGAUACUACUCAGCUAGAGUAUGGGAGAGGGUAGUGGAAUUCCCGGUGUAGCGGUGAAAUGCGUAGAUAUCGGGAGGAACAUCGAUGGCGAAGGCAAUCACCUGGGCCUGAACUGACACUGAGACACGAAAGCGUGGGUAGCAAACAGG